rnacentral:misc_RNA from 1 species
AUGAUCAGGCGAAAAACCAAACAGCAGGCCAGUGAAAAGCAACGAUUGUCUGAGGUGAAGGCAGAAAUCCGUGAGAAAGAUCGAGAGCGGGUCAUCUUCUUUCGUCAUAUUGGUGAAAUAGCUGAUCGAUAUGCCUGGAAAGGCAUUCACCACGAUGGUAAUCUCUCACGGAAAAAGCGCCCAGCCAGCAAAAAUACAGCUAAUCCUACAGCUAUGAUUCCUCUUGGGAAUAAGUCACUCGUUCCGUUUCCUCCUGCCUGGACGGAAUCUCUGCUCAAACGCGUAGGUCUACAGACUCGGAACCCAUCGUUAAUAGAUGAGUUAAUGCAAGAAGUUGAUUCGGAUUAUUGCUCGGCACUCAAAAACCUCAAACCAAUCAAUUUAGCAUUUCCAUUGAUUCUUACAGUAGAAUAUGGACUUGUAAUGGAUAACAGUAAAAACAAUUUCAAAGAGGCAUUUCGGGUCAUCCAACGCAAUCUGCUUCGAUGUCAUCCUCUGAUACAUCGACCGGCAGUUCAUUUGCGAUCAAAGUUGAGCAGCAUUCGAUUGAAAGCCCUACCCAGCAAACAGUAUGUACGACUUGAGGAUAUGGUUGAAUCCAUUUUGUUGGUGUGGACAAAAACCACUGAAGAAUUCAAGCAGGUUGCACUCGGUGUCCGCCAAAAAAUACUUAUUAAAACAAAGAGUAGCCCAACGGCAGUUCAACGGUUAGCCAGAGUAGAUGCCACUGUAUGUGUCAUGCUUUCUUUGCAGGUACAAGAAACAUGUGCAAGAUUGAUGAAAGAAUUAGCUGCUUUGUUUGAAAGUCCCACAUUCGUUCCAAUAUCUAUUGGUGUUGGUUGCAGUAAAGAAAACUUAAUAACCAUUACUAAAACGGCAGACGACAUAGAAGAAUCUCUGAGAGGUCUACUGCAAAAGAUUAUUGACAACGUACCUUUCAACGUGGACGCUAUUCCUACAAAAUGCAACCUAAAUCUUACCAUCCCGGCCGACGUUCAAUUGUUAUUCGAAGAUUGUAUUCGGUGUUUUACCUCUAAAUGCUGCCAAGAGAAGGACUUCUACGUUACAGAGUGUGAGGCUCGUUUUGGCGAUAUAAUUCGUGGGGAAGUGACGGCCAAAAUGGAUGAGAUUUUGACAAUUGAAGAACCCAGUAUUGAAGAAUGUAUCCCGGCAAUAAUCGACAUUCGUUCGCGAAUGAAACAGGUGAGCCGUCUGUGGGAAAUUGAACCUCAUCAACGUUUAUGGUUCCUGAACAGCGAAUUAAAAAACGUGAUGCUUAGUCGGUUAACGUACAACAAGACUCGCUUAGAAGAAUGUUUACUCGGGCAGUAUCGUAAGGAAACCAAUCGUUUGCUAGCUGAAUUGGAUCGCAUGAAAAAGCAGAUUCUGCAGCCUCCUUCUAAUACGAUGGAACUGCUUGGUCGCAGUGCCUAUCUGGAGGAGGCACGUAAUAAACCUCUGAAUGAUCUUAUCGCCUCCAUGACAGCACUUAAAGGACUUUUCGUUCGGCUUACGGACAUUGUAACUUACACUGAUGCUGACGUCAUCCGGUCUUCUCAAGCUUUCUUUGGACCUGAUGAAAUUGUUCCAAUGCUUGACGAUGGCACUGAGUUAAUUGCCAAAUAUCGGAGGCAAUUUGAAGAUCGCUAUCAAGAAGUGCUUGAAAAAACACAGAAGGAUUUAAAACGAUUGAAGAUUAAAAUGAAACACUUUAACAAUUGCGGAGACUGGGAUUCGGUUGAGUAUUAUGUUAAAGACAUAACUGCCAUGUCUCGCAAAGUCCAAGAAAUCCAACGCACAGCUAAUUGGAUCACUCAAGAAGAAAUUCAGCUUAAGUACCCCAUAACAUCGUUCCCGGAAAUUGCCGAAAUCAACACUUAUAUCGAACCCUACAUUCGUCUUUACGUCAGCAUUAACUCUUGGCGUAAAUUACUUAAACGAUGGCUAGACGGGGAUUUCCAUAAUUUAAAUGCCGACGACAUUGAAAAUCAAACGGACGAGAUGUCAAGGGAAAUGUUCCGACUUCAGAAAGUGUUCCGUGCCAGAGGAAAACAGUUGGAAGUUGGAAAUGCCCAAUCAAGAAAAGCAAACGAAGGUGCCAAUCAAAUGGGAGCAUCGUUAAAGAUGUGUCAGAGAGGUUUGGAUGACGUUAAAGAAUUCAAGGUUCAACUGCCUAUAGUGGGAGUAAUUUGUAAUCCGGGUCUACGAGACAGGCACUGGAAAGACAUGUCUGACCUGGUAGCCAAAGAUCUGAAACCAAAUACUGGAACCACUUUGCGAAAGUUCUUGAAUCUCGGCUUGAUGCCCUAUUUAGAAAAAUUUGAAGUUAUCAGUGGGGCGGCCAGCAAGGAAUUUAGUCUAGAAAAAGGCAUGAAAUCGAUGGCUGAGGAAUGGAAUGUCGUAGUUUUCUCUACUGCCAAAUACAGAGACACAGACACGCCUAUUUUAGCAGGCGUGGAUGAAAUCCAAGCUCUUCUAGACGAUCACCUUAUUAAAACACAAACAAUGAAAGGAUCGCCUUUUGUGCGCCCAGUUGAAAAACAAUUACUCGCAUGGGAAGGAACUUUGCUCCGAAUCCAACAGACUAUCGAGGAAUGGUUAAUUGUUCAGAGUCAGUGGCUGUAUUUGGAUCCGAUUUUCUCCUCGCCCAAUAUCAUCGACCAAAUGCCUGACGAGGCUACCCUUUUUAAGAAUGUGGAUGCAAUUUGGCACGGGGUAAUGGGCGCCCUCGUUUCAAAUCCAAACGUGAUGCAAACAGCAGGAUCCGUAGGGAUGUUGGAACAACUGGCUCAUUCUUCAAAACUUCUAGAGCAAAUCAACUUUGGUGUCAAUGCAUAUCUUGACAAAAAACGGCUCUAUUUUUCAAGAUUCUUUUUCCUUUCAAACGAGGAAAUGUUGGAUAUAUUGUCGGAAACUAAGGAUCCGCUUAGGGUGCAGACUCACCUAAAAAAGGUCUUUGAAGGAAUUGCCUCCUUAGAGUUUGAUGAGGACUAUGUCAUCCAUGCAAUGAUCAGCCCUCAAGGUGAGCGGGUCCCCUUCGUUAACCCUGUAAAGACUGCAGAUGCACGCGGAAGCGUAGAAGUUUGGCUUCUUCAGGUUGAGGAUGCUAUGAUUGAUGCAUGCCGUCAUAUAAUUCAGCAAUCACUGCGAACCUGUGUAGAAUCAAGUCGACACGAUUGGGUAGCCAAAACACCCGGACAAGCUGUCUUGUGUGCCGCCCAAGUUCAAUGGGCAGCUGGUAUCACGCAUGCCAUUAUUCAAGGACCUAAAGCCUUAAAGCAGUAUUACCAAGAUAUAUGCACUAAAUUAAAUGAAAGCGCAUCGCUUGUGAAGAUGCCUUUAGCUAAAUUGACACGUACCACGUUGGGCGCUUUAGUAGUAACGGAGGUCCAUACACGAGACCUGGUGCAAGAGCUGAUAGAGAACAACGUGACUGACAUCAAUAACUUCAGUUGGAUUUCUCAAUUACGGUAUUACUCGGACGAAAACAACGAAAUCAUUGUCCGCAUGAUCAAUGCUACUUUGAAGUACGCGUACGAGUAUCUGGGAAACACAUCACGAUUGGUUAUCACACCGCUAACUGAUCGCUGCUAUCGAACUCUUAUUGGAGCGUACCACUUGCACUUGAGCGGAGCUCCGGAGGGUCCAGCCGGCACAGGCAAAACAGAAACGACCAAAGAUUUGGCCAAAGCUCUUGCUGUCCAAUGUCUGGUGUUUAAUUGCUCAGAUGGUCUAGAUUACGUGGCCAUGGGAAAGUUUUUUAGAGGCUUGGCCUCUUCCGGUGCAUGGGCUUGUUUUGACGAGUUCAACAGAAUAGAGGCCGAAGUGUUGUCGGUGGUGGCCCAGCAAAUGCUCUCUAUUUUACAUGCCAUUCAGUCUCACAUGAAGACUUUUAUUUUCGAAGGGGUUGAGUUAAAAUUGAAUCCCAUGUGCUUUGUCUGUGUAACAAUGAAUCCAGGUUACGCAGGUCGUUCUGAAUUGCCUGAUAACUUGAGGGUUUUGUUUCGAACUGUGGCUAUGAUGAUCCCUGAUUAUUCCAUGAUCGGAGAAAUCUCACUGUACUCAUAUGGAUUCACUGAUGCCCGCAACCUAGCCACUAAAAUUGUCACCACUUAUAAACUCUGUUCUGAACAGUUGUCCACACAGAGUCACUACGAUUACGGUAUGCGUGCUGUGAAAUCUGUUUUGGUAGCUGCUGGUAAUCUCAAAGUUCAGUCGCCGAGUGAUGCAGAAGAUUCUUUGAUUCUUAGAUCCUUGAUGGACGUGAAUCUCCCGAAGUUCCUUAGUGGGGAUCUAAUAUUAUUUCACGGCAUUAUUGCCGACUUGUUUCCCGAGAUACCUCUCCCUCAGUCUAAACACAGUGCUUUACUUGCGGCCAUUCAACAGGCUUGUGAUGAAAGAGAUUUGCUGUUGACUGACAAGUUUGCACAAAAAGUGAUCCAGAUGUAUGAAAUGAUGUUAGUGCGACAUGGAUUCAUGCUUGUAGGUCGGCCAAUGGGAGGCAAAUCGACAGUAAUACAGGUUUUGGCGUCGGCGUUAAAUUUUCUUUCGUUGGAGGACAAUGACGAGACCGGUGUUAUUUAUCGUACACUGAACCCGAAAGCCGUCACACCUGGACUGUUAUUUGGUCAAUUUGAUCCGGUAACCCAUGAAUGGGUUGAUGGAAUAGUAUCGCUAAUAUUUCGUGAACUGUCAACAUCAGAAUCGAAUGCACGAAAAUGGAUCAUCUUUGAUGGACCUGUAGACGCCGUUUGGAUCGAAAAUCUCAACACUGUACUGGAUGACAACAAGAAACUUUGUCUAGCGUCUGGUGAGAUAAUCGGCCUCACUCCAUCAAUGUCCUGUAUAUUUGAAGUUAUGGAUCUCGCACAGGCGUCGCCUGCCACCGUUUCUCGUUGUGGUAUGGUAUACGUCGAUCCCGGUGAUCUUGGCUGGCAACCUCUUUUUCACACAUGGCUUAAAUCCUUUACGGCAAACUGGAAAGCCGCACUUGAACCUGUGCUCGUUAGUCUGAUUCAGUGGCUUAUUCCAGCCUCUCUUAGUGGCAUCCGCAAAUUUGGCGUUGAAUUGUUGAAUGUUGAAGAGAAUAGCAAAGUCUCGUUCCUUUUACGUAUGGUUCAAGCUCUAAUGCAACGGUGUUGCGCUGGAUUGAAAGAUGUGAGAUAUGGUAGGGCCUGGCUACAAGCGUCCAUACUUUUUGCACUCACGUGGACAAUUGGCGGUGCUUUAGAAAGUGAAAGUCAGAUCAAAUUCGAUACAUUUAUCAGAUCUUUGCUAUCAGGUAAAAGUGAAGCGUUUCCCUAUCCAACGAGCGCGGGACGUUGGGAGUGUCAUUUGCCUUCUGAUGGAACUCUAUAUGAUUACGUUUACGAGUACAAACAACGUGGGCAGUGGCGUCAGUGGGCCGAAACUGUCCGUAAUAUUCCCAUUCCAGAUGCGAAGUCGCUUAGAGAACUUACUAUUCCGACUGUGGAUACUGCUAGGUAUUCAUAUCUGCUGGACUUGAGCUUGGCUAGCCGUACCCCAAUCCUUCUUGUUGGUCCCACGGGAACAGGAAAAUCGCUUUGCAUUCAGGAAAAAAUGAGUGGAUUUAGCGACGAAGAAUUCGCUUCUCUUUGUCUGACAUUCACUGCUCAAACAUCCGCUGCUCAAGUUCAAGAUCUUAUACUCAGCCGAUUGGAACGACGCAAAAAAGGUACCUAUGGCCCUCCUGCCGGCCGACGUUGUUUAAUUUUUGUAGAUGAUCUCAAUAUGCCGGCUAAAGAAACUUAUGGAGCUCAACCCUCCCUUGAACUUCUCCGACAGUACUUUGAUUAUCAUCAAUGGUAUGAUCGAAAAGAGGCUAAUCUUCUUGAUAUACAAGAUCUUCAAAUUUGGGGCGCAAUGGGCCCUCCAGGUGGUAGUCGUCAAGAAAUUUCGCCACGUUGUCUACGCCACUUUCAUAUUAUUGCCAUUAAUCCGUUCUCCGAUUCCACGAUGACUCACAUCUUCAGCACUAUCCUUACAAUUCAUUUGAGCAAAGGCGGGUUUCCUCCAGACGUCUUUAGCUUGGUUGGUUCUAUCGUUUCUGCCACGCUGGAAAUCUAUCGCGCAGCUCUAAGAGUGCUUCUUCCAACACCCUCAAAGGCUCACUAUGUUUUCAGUCUGAGGGAUUUUGCUCGAGUCAUCCACGGUUGUUGCCUAAUCCAAAAAGACGCGGUUGAAAAUCGCAAGACUUUCCUAAGACUUUGGAUUCACGAAGUAUUAAGAGUCUUUGGUGAUCGAUUAGUUGACGAGAAUGACACUAAUUGGUUAUACAACAUGCUGCGGGAAUGCGUUCGCACCCACUUUCGUGAGAACUUUGACAGUUUACUUGAACAUCUUGGACGCACAGAUGGCAGGGUGACGUUGGCGAGUUUGGAAAACUUAAUGUUUGGAGAUUAUACUGUAGCGGACUUGCUCCAAGAAGAUAGGAUUUACAAGGAGGUUACAGACAUACCUCGUCUCGACUCCGUCAUCAUGAGCUAUAUCACAGACUAUAAUAACACUAACAAAACCCGAUUGAAUCUCAUCCUUUUUCAAUAUGUUUUGAAACACCUGAGUCGAAUAAGUCGAGUGUUGCGGAUUUCGGGAGGCCAUGCAUUACUUAUUGGAGUAGGUGGAUCGGGAAGACAAUCCCUAACGAAGCUGGCAGCUUCCAUGGCAGGAUACACGCUGUUUCAGCCGACUGCAAAACCUAAUUAUGGAAUUAAUGAAUGGCGAGAAGAUGUGAAACGUGUAUUGCGAACGGCUGGUGGUCUUGGCCGUGAUGUUGUCUUUCUCAUUUUGGACUCCCAAUUAAAUAACGCUGCCUUUCUUCAAGACAUCGAUUCAAUGCUCAAUAGUGGUUUGGUGCCUAAUAUCUUUUCCGUGGAGGAGAAACAGGAAUUAAUUGAAUUGGUUAGGAAAAAUCGCCAGAGUGCCCCGCAAAUGGAAAGCAGUCCUGCGUCAUUAAUGACUUAUUUUGCCCAACAAUGCAAGGAUCAUUUACACUUGGUGUUGGCUUACAGUCCUCUUGGAUCUAGCCUACGUGACAGUGUCCGGUAUUUUCCCUCUUUGAUAAACUGUUGCACCAUCGACUGGUUUGAAGCGUGGCCCGAAGAGGCUUUGGAAAACGUAGCUGUGAGCACGGUCGAGACGAUUGAAAUCCCUGCUGAAACAAAGCGAAAGGUCGUCGUAGCCUGUAAAUAUUUCCACAUGACGGCUACGAAAUAUGCCAACAUGUUUACAUUAAAGUUGGGCCGACCAGUCUACGUCACCCCUGCAUCGUAUUUAUCAUUACUGGCCGGAUUUAGCAAUUUAAUGUCGGAGCAGCAGCAGCAGAUCAGGCAAGCGAUUGAGCGAUACCGAAAUGGUUUGUCUCGUCUGGCCGAAGCAUCUGCUCAAGUCAAUCAAAUGCAAAUCGAAUUGUCCGAACUUCAGCCCAAACUUGUCGAAGCCUCCAAGCAAACGGAUCUCAUGAUGAAAACCAUUCAGCAAGAAUCUGGUGAAGUGGAAAAAACUUCUACACUUAUUCGAGCUGAUGAAGUUGCAGCAAAUGAGGAAGCAGCCAUUUCUCAAGCGUUAAAAGCUGAAUGUGAAGCUGAUUUGGCUGAAGCAUUACCAGCUUUGGAAGCUGCUUUGGCCGCGCUCGAUACUCUCAAGCCCGCUGACAUUACCUUGGUCAAAUCCAUGAAGAAUCCACCCAAGGUGAUCAAGACUGUUAUGGCUGCUGUAUGUGUCAUGAAAGAUAUCAAACCAGAGAAAAUUUUAGAUCCUGAUGGAUCUGGUAAAAAGAUCCUUGACUUCUGGGGACCUAGCAAGAAAUUACUAAACGAUUUGGGAUUUCUUACUCAACUUAAAGAAUACAAAAAGGAUACGAUCCCACCCCAUAUUAUGCAAAGAAUUCGCACAGAAUUUCUACCCAAUCCAGACUUUGAGCCAUCCGUCGUGGCCAAAGCGUCCAGCGCUGCAGAAGGGCUUUGCAAAUGGGUUAAAGCCAUUGAAAUUUAUGACAAAACAGCCAAGAUUGUCAUGCCGAAAAAGGCAAGAUUAGCUUCAGCCGAAGCCAGUCUUGAAGAAACGAUGAAUUUGUUGAAUUUGAAACGAAAUCAGCUAGCAGUUCUAGAGGCCCGGUUGGCCCAACUGAAGGAUGAUUAUGCCGAAGGAUGUCGAAAACGUCAACAAUUAUCCGACGAUGUUGACAUGUGCUCGAAAAGACUUAGUCGUGCAUCAGCUUUGAUUGGUGGAUUAGGAACAGAGAGAGAACGCUGGUCUGAAGCCGAAAUCAAGUUAAUGGACAAACUAGAGAACUUAACUGGAGAUAUUAUGCUCUCGGCUGCCGUUAUGGCCUAUCUGGGACCUUUGACGUCGGCCUUCCGCGACAAGUGUACGGCUGAUUGGGUCCAGUUUACUACAAAUUUGGGAAUACCAUGUUCAGCUCGGUUCAGCUUAUCGGAAACACUCGGUUCUGCCGUUCGGAUUGAAGGCUGGACUGAAUCUGGUCUUCCUAGAGACAGUUUUUCGAUUGAUAAUGCGGUCAUGGUUUACCAUCAGAAGAAAUGGCCAUUGUUGAUUGACCCACAAGGACAGGCAAAUGCAUGGCUCAAAAGCUGGGAAGUUGACCGAGGUUUAGUGAUUUUGCGAGCUGGACAAGCUGACCUUCUUCGUCAACUCGAACAAACGAUCCCAUCUGGUCGGCCGGUGCUAAUUGAAGAAGUUGGUGAAGAAUUAGACCCUUCAUUAGAUCCUCUUCUAUCACGCUCCAUCCAAAAGCAAGGCGGAGUUGAAAUGAUCCAGCUGGGUGAUGGAAUGGUCGAGUAUCACCGUGACUUCCAGCUAUACAUGACUAGCAAACUACGAAAUCCUCAUUUCCUACCAGAAGUCACAACCAAAGUUUUAGUCAUUAACGCUGCCAUUACUUUAAAAGGGUUAGAAGACCAGUUACUUGGUAUCGUGGUUGCUGAAGAACGGCCAGAUUUGGAAGAGAUGCGGCAAAAGUUGGUGAAGGAAGGUGCAGCUUGUCGUACAGCUUUGCAAGAGGUAGAGGACCAGAUAUUGGCUACCCUAAGUAAAGGAGGUAACCUAUUGGAAGACGAAGCGGCCAUUCGAGUUUUGGAUGAAUCCAAAGUCUUGUCGGCUGAAAUUGUUACCAAGCAGCAGUUGGCUGCAGAAACGUCAAUUCGCAUGGAACAGUCAAGACAAGCUUACAUGCCUGUGGCUCAGCAUGCAGCUGUACUCUUCUUCUGUUUGGCUGAACUGAUCAAUCUUAGUCCGAUGUACCAGUAUUCCCUGAAGUGGUUUAUUCGAUUAUUCCUUUUCUCCAUACGCAACUCUAUUCGUCCAGAACGCGUUGAAGAACGAUUGGACAUCCUUCAAAAUCACUUCGAUCGGGCAUUAUACACUAACGUUUGUCGAAGCCUUUUCGAGAAAGACAAACUUCCAUUCAGCAUGGCACUGACUUCGUCACUCAUGAUACAACGAGGAGAAAUGUCCGCUGCUGAGAUCGAUCUUUUCCUCACGGGUAGCAAAAGUCUAACUCGCGGGGUAGCAGCCGAAUGUCCUGAAUGGCUAAGUCUAAAGACGUGGGAUCAAAUCUGUCAGUUGUCAACUGAACCACCGUUUAUAGACGUCAAUUUCUCCCUGAUGCGACAAGGAGAUCAUUGGCAAUCAGUCGCUGACGCAAUCAACCCUUAUGAGAUGGAGUUACCAGAAGAUUGGAAAAUGAAAUGGAAACCAUUCCAACGGCUCCUUUUCCUACGCUACUUGGCACCUAGCAAAAUUGUUCGCAUGGUAAGAACGUUUGUUGCUGAACAACUUGGCGAAGAAUUUGUCCAGCCACCUCCGUUCGACCUGUCCUGUUCUUUUGCGGAUUCGGAUUCUACAACACCUUUAAUCUUCUUGCUAACCGCCGGCGCUGACCCUAUGGCCUGCUUACUUAGGUUUGCUGAAGAGCAUCGUGCUGGCGAUGGGACUCUGCACAUAGUUUCUCUUGGUCAAGGACAAGGCGUCCUGGCCGAAGAAAAGAUCCAGCAGGCUAUAGGUAGUGGAGAGUGGGUGAUUCUCCAAAACUGUCAUUUGGCGGCCUCGUGGAUGCCAGCAUUGGAACGCAUUUGCCAGAAGCUAAGCAGCCAAUCUCUUCAUCCCAGUUUUCGCUUGUGGUUGACUAGCUAUCCAUGGGAAAGCUUUCCAGUUUCUAUUCUACAGAAUGGGGUUAAAAUUACGAACGAGCCUCCAGUCGGGUUAAAAGAAAACGUACUGAGGACUUUCAAUCCUGAUCCGUUGGACGAUCUUGUACAGCAGCAAGAUCAGCUUAACUGGCCAAGCCAUAAAAUGUUGACGUUACGAAAACUGAGCUAUUCUCUCUGCUUUUUUCACGCACUAGUACAAGAAAGACGUACGUACGGUGCCAUCGGCUGGAACAUACCUUAUGCCUUUGACGAUUCUGAUCUGCAAAUUUCAUUGAAACAAAUUCGAAUUUUCGUGACCGACUACGAGCAGGUGCCUUAUCAAGCUCUGCAAUAUCUGGUGGGAGAAUGCCAUUAUGGUGGACGCGUGACAGAUGAUUGGGAUCGACGCACGUUAAGCACUCUCCUGGCUGAUUUUUGCAAUCCAGAGUUGGUCGAAAAUCCCAAUUAUUCUCUCGUGCAACCAGUUCAUCCCCUUUAUAUCCUGCCACAUUCAGCUGAUUAUGAAUUUUUUUUGGAAGCAGUUCAACGUUUGCCAGUUUUGCAAGCACCCAACGUUUUUGGCAUGCACGAAAACGUCACUAUUGGGCGUGAUUUACUGGAAGGCGACUAUCUGCUCAGUAGUCUUCUAGCACUUCAAGGUUGCUAUUCUUCCGGAAUUGACGAAAGCGGAGAUGGUGAACAAACCAGUGGAGAAGAAAUUCAAGAAGAUUCAGCAGAGAAAGCGCAACAACAAUCUGCACCAGCACCUCCAGUUUCGUCUCAAAAGAAACCUACAGAUGCAAUCUUAAACGAAAUGAUUCAGGAUUUGAUCCAACAGCUACCGGAAAGCUUUGAUCUUGAUUUGGCUGAAGAGAAAUUCCCUAUCAACUAUCUACAACCAUUGAACACAGUUUUGGUUCAAGAAAUGGGGCGUUACAAUCGUUUAGUCGGAAUUAUCCGAACAAAUCUUGGAUCGUUGCAACGAGCUGUUUGUGGUCAUGUGACAAUGACAGCAGAGCUGGAAUCGACAGGCAAAGCUUUGCUCAGCAACCGCGUUCCAGCGGUCUGGAAGACAGCAUCUUACCCCAGCCUAAAGCCUAUGCGAGGCUAUUUCAGCGAUUUGUUAGAACGGCUGCAAUUCUUCAGGUCCUGGUACGAAGACGGACAACCGGUGAUAUUUUGGCUGCCGGCUUUCUAUUUCCCCCAAUCCUUUCUGACCGGCGCUUUGCAGACAACUGCCCGUAAAAAACGAAUUCCAGUUGAUUGUCUUUACCACCAUUGCCGAGUCAUGAGUCCCCAAAAAGUUGGCAAUCUUGAUACACCACCAGAGGAAGGUGUAUACGUUCGCGGUUUAUACCUCGUAGGAGCUCGCUGGGACGGUGACGAGGAGUCAUUGACGGAGCAACGUCCCAAAGUUUUAUGGGAAGAGAUGCCUGUUCUAUGGCUCAAUCCGUCCGAGCAUUUAAAAGGUAACAACAAACAGGUGGCAAACCAACCGGAUGAGUCACGUGAAACGUACACCUGUCCUCUUUAUCGCACGUCUGAGCGACGUGGGGAGCUUUCAACGACAGGACAUUCUACUAACUUUGUUAUGUCACUGGAGCUGCCGACUAAGAUACCACACAGCCAUUGGAUAAAACGAGGCGUAGCCCUCAUUACCCAAUCUGAUGAUUAAAAUCAGUUGUUCAGCACGAGGAUGGUUUUUAACUGCCGAUAAUUUAACUAUACUAAUUUUUACAACUUGACAAGACAAGCAAGCAGACACAAGUUUCAGGAAAUGUAAAUGAAUGUGGUGGAAUUGGCUAAGUUUAAUUCAGCUGCUUCUAAAUACAAUCAUUUACGUUGCGUUACCUGUU